rnacentral:rRNA from 1 species
GACGAACGCUGGCGGCGUGCCUAAUACAUGCAAGUAGAACGCUGAAGAGAGGAGCUUGCUCUUCUUGGAUGAGUUGCGAACGGGUGAGUAACGCGUAGGUAACCUGCCUUGUAGCGGGGGAUAACUAUUGGAAACGAUAGCUAAUACCGCAUAACGAUGGAUGACACAUGUCAUUUAUUUGAAAGGGGCAAUUGCUCCACUACAAGAUGGACCUGCGUUGUAUUAGCUAGUAGGUGAGGUAAUGGCUCACCUAGGCGACGAUACAUAGCCGACCUGAGAGGGUGAUCGGCCACACUGGGACUGAGACACGGCCCAGACUCCUACGGGAGGCAGCAGUAGGGAAUCUUCGGCAAUGGGGGCAACCCUGACCGAGCAACGCCGCGUGAGUGAAGAAGGUUUUCGGAUCGUAAAGCUCUGUUGUAAGUCAAGAACGGGUGUGAGAGUGGAAAGUUCACACUGUGACGGUAGCUUACCAGAAAGGGACGGCUAACUACGUG